rnacentral:rRNA from 1 species
UACGAAGGGGGCUAGCGUUGUUCGGAAUUACUGGGCGUAAAGCGUGCGCAGGCGGUUAUGUAAGACAGAUGUGAAAUGCCCGGGCUUAACCUGGGAACUGCAUUUGUGACUGCAUGGCUAGAGUUUGGCAGAGGGGGGUAGAAUUCCACGUGUAGCAGUGAAAUGCGUAGAUAUCAGGAGGAACACCGGUGGUGUAGACGGCUCUCUGGACCGUAACUGACGCUGAGACACGAAAGCGUGGGUAGCAAACAGG